rnacentral:ncRNA from 2 species
GGGAAUCCGGUGCGAAUCCGGAACUGUCCCGCAACGGUGUACUCAUGCGUGCUUGAGCGCAUAUGAGCGUCAGUCCGAGGACC